rnacentral:rRNA from 1 species
GACGAACGCUGGCGGCGUGCUUAACACAUGCAAGUCGAACGGAAAGGCCCGGCGUUUGUGGGUUUCUCGUUUGGCGAACAGGGGAGUAACACGUGAGGAACCUGCCCUUGACUGUGGGAUAACUUCUGGGGACUGGGGCUAAUACCGCAGAGGAUCUCCUGCUGCAUGGUGUGGGAUGGAAAGUUACGGCGGUGGGGGCUGGUCUCGCGGCUUACGAGCUGGUUAGGCAGGUAGGUGUAUUCCAAGGCUUUGAAGGGUAGCCUGCCUUGGAGGGUGACCGGCCACAUUGCGCCUGAGGGAGGGCCCAGAAUGCUAUGGGAGGCAGUAGUGGAGAACAUUGCACAAUGGGCGGACGUCUGAUGCAGCAGCGUUGCGUGCGGGAUGCUCGCUUUUGGGUUGUAAACCGAUUUGGACUGUGCUGAAGAGUGCGUGACGGUAAUGGGUAAAGAAGCACCGGCUAACUACGUG